AUAGGCUGCUGAGCCUUCAACAUGUAGACCUUUGGGGGAAUUUCAUUCUCAGUCCACCAUAGCAUGUCCAAAGUCAGAUCCAGUGAUGUGUUUAUAAAAAGAUAAAGACAGAAGAAUAUGUUUUGGUGAAGGUGUAGUCAGUUAUCAUGUGGCAGUCUGUCCGUCCAGCCAACUCUUCACCUACACAAGACAGCCCCAGUAUGUCCUUCAACAACUCGGGUGGAAUAACUUGCUGUGGCUCGCCCAGGAGCCCAACACCUAACAAAGCUCAGCUGCCUGCCUUCUGCUGUCAUUCUCAGCCUUACGGUCACAUGUGCCCUGACAGUGAUUCCGAUUUUUGUUGGAGCUAAAAGCCACAAGCCCAGGCCAUUGAAACAAGAGGAAGAAAGGCAUCUCCUCCUCAUCCUCUACCAGUGUACCAACAAGCUGCUGCCACUGUAGCCUGGACCUCCAGUCAAGUCACCAGCCUCCUUCAUCUCCAUCCUCCACCAGUGUACCAACAAGCUGCUCCUGCUGUGGCCUGGACCUCCAGUCAAGCCACCAGCCUCCUUCAUCCCUGUUGAAUGAACACUGCUCCUAUCUCUCAAAUUUGGUCUAUCUUGAGGUCUUACUGUUUGGGGUAUGGCUGACAGAUUCCUCCCAUUCCAAACCAGUCUGUGAUCUCAAUACUGACCCAUCCCUGCCCUUCCAGCCUUCUUCCUUUCCCCUUUUUACAAAUACUGUCUUUUUCGAUCUACCAAAAUACUUGGGAGGCCAUUAAACUGUGCCAGCUCCAGCCCCUGGAGUUCCCAUGUAAGCAAACCGUGAACCCUAUUUAAUGUCACCAGUAAAAUGCAACAAACAUAACCUUUACCAAUCAAAACCUGUCAACUAAUCUCGGGGUAGGACUGUACUGCCACAGCACACCUGUGUAGGUGAGACAAACUUUGUGGAGUCUGCUUUCUCCAUCCACCUCUAGAUGGGUUCUGGGAAUUGAAUGUGGCUCUCCAGCUUUGUGUGCCAAGUUCCUUACACACUGAGCCAUCUAAUCUGCCCAAAGAUAAACUUCUUAAAA